GCACAUCUGUCCCUUGGCUUCAGGCAAGUACCUUAACGGGCACACGGAGACCUAGGGGCAUGUAAGCGUGCUUAGUCGCUGAGUCCUGUCUGACUCUUUGCGACCCCGUGGACUGUAGUUGGCCAGGCUCCUCUGUGCAUGGGAUUCUCCAGGCCAGAACAGUAGGGUGGGUAGCCAUUCCCUUCUCCAGAAGGUCUUCCCGACCCAGAAGCUGAACCCUUGUCGCCUGCAUUGCAGGCAGAUUCUUUACUGUCGGAGCCAGCAGGGAAGAGGCCUAGAUGUUUGUGUCCAUAAAUGGAGAUGUUCUAGAAAUGCUGUGGAGAGAGACACCCAUGGGGACCACAGAAAUCCAUCCCACAUACCCCACCCUCCCCAGAGAUGCCCUGUCCCCAAGAUUCAGAUGAGACAUCUCACUAGCAGAGAGCUCCCAUCUCGCUACCUGAAAGCUCCCAUCUCACGGAGAGCUCCCAUCUCACUAGCGGGGAGCUCCCAUCUCACUAGCGGGGAGCUCCCAUCUCACUAGCCAUCUCACUAG
rnacentral:lncRNA from 1 species